UACGGAGGGUGCAAGCGUUAUCCGGAUUCACUGGGUUUAAAGGGUGCGUAGGUGGGCAGGUAAGUCAGUGGUGAAAUCUCCGGGCUUAACUCGGAAACUGCCAUUGAUACUAUCUGUCUUGAAUACCCUGGAGGUGAGCGGAAUAUGUCAUGUAGCGGUGAAAUGCUUAGAUAUGACAUAGAACACCCAUUGCGAAGGCAGCUCACUACGGGAAUAUUGACACUGAGGCACGAAAGCGUGGGGAUCAAACAGG
rnacentral:rRNA from 1 species